rnacentral:rRNA from 1 species
ACGAAGGGUGCAAGCGUUACUCGGAAUUACUGGGCGUAAAGCGUGCGCAGGCGGUUUUGUAAGUCAGAUGUGAAAUCCCCGGGCUCAACCUGGGAACUGCGUUUGAAACUACAAGGCUAGAGUAUGGCAGAGGGGGGUAGAAUUCCACGUGUAGCAGUGAAAUGCGUAGAGAUGUGGAGGAAUACCAAUGGCGAAGGCAGCCCCCUGGGUCAAUACUGACGCUCAUGCACGAAAGCGUGGGGAGCAAACAGGA